AUUGAUUUUAUGCUUGCAUAAAUGAUUUUUGGAUUCGGAGCGAGUGGCGAACUGGUGAGUAACACGUGGGUAACCUGCCCCGAAGCGGGGGAUAACAUUUGGAAACAAGUGCUAAUACCGCAUAAUUAGUUGGAACCGCAUGGUUCCAACUUGAAAGAUGGCUCUGCUAUCACUUUGGGAUGGACCCGCGCCGUAUUAGUUAGUUGGUGAGAUAAAAGCCCACCAAGACGAUGAUACGUAGCCGACCUGAGAGGGUAAUCGGCCACAUUGGGACUGAGACACGGCCCAGACUCCUACGGGAGGCAGCAGUAGGGAAUCUUCCACAAUGGACGAAAGUCUGAUGGAGCAACGCCGCGUGAGUGAUGAAGGUUUUCGGAUCGUAAAACUCUGUUGUUAAAGAAGAACAAGUGUUAGAGUAACUGUUAACACUUUGACGGUAUUUAACCAGAAAGCCACGGCUAACUACGUGCCAGCAGCCGCGGUAAUACGUAGGUGGCAAGCGUUGUCCGGAUUUAUUGGGCGUAAAGCGAGCGCAGGCGGUUUUGUAAGUCUGCUGUGAAAGCCCUCAGCUCAACUGAGGAAGUGCAGUGGAAACUACAAAACUUGAGUACAGAAGAGGAAAGUGGAACUCCAUGUGUAGCGGUGAAAUGCGUAGAUAUAUGGAAGAACACCAGUGGCGAAGGCGGCUUUCUGGUCUGUUACUGACGCUGAGGCUCGAAAGCAUGGGUAGCGAACAGGAUUAGAUACCCUGGUAGUCCAUGCCGUAAACGAUGAAUACUAGGUGUUGGAGGGUUUCCGCCCUUCAGUGCCGCAGCUAACGCAUUAAGUAUUCCGCCUGGGGAGUACGACCGCAAGGUUGAAACUCAAAGGAAUUGACGGGGGCCCGCACAAGUGGUGGAGCAUGUGGUUUAAUUCGAUGCUACGCGAAGAACCUUACCAGCUCUUGACAUCUUCUGCCAACCCAAGAGAUUGGGCGUUCCCUUCGGGGACAGAAUGACAGGUGGUGCAUGGCUGUCGUCAGCUCGUGUCGUGAGAUGUUGGGUUAAGUCCCGCAACGAGCGCAACCCUUAUUAUUAGUUGCCAGCAUUUAGUUGGGCACUCUAGUGAGACUGCCGGUGAUAAA
rnacentral:rRNA from 1 species